AAGGCUUCAGCAAGACACAGUCAGAACUAUAAGUCUCAAAGCCCCGACGAGUAGGGUGGCGUGCCGGUGCGCGUUGAAGGCCAAGACGUGAGUCAGGCUGGAGCCGCCGGUAGUGCAGAUCUUGGUGGUAGUAGCAAGUACUCUGGUGAAGUAACCUGGAGCUGUGAGGUCUGGAUUAGGGUUCCAUGUCAACAGUGAUUGAACAUGGGUGAGUCGAACCUAAGCCAGCUGUGAAUGCAGUGACAUCCCUACAACGGGGACGCUCAAACAUGCAUCUCGGUGCUUACACCCCCUAGGCAUGCCUCUCUUGACAAGUUCUCUCUCUCUCAUGUAUGCAAACACGGUCUACAUAACCAAAGUGUGCCUGGUACUCAUGCGAGUCUCGUUCAAGUGAACAAAUAAAUAAAAGGCGCACACAUGAUGACCAUUACCUUCGCGGUGGUGAGAGUGACAGCGUCCGUAUGGCUAGCUAUCUGUCGGGAUGAGGAUGUAAGUCGCUCACACAAUGAUCACUACCAAUAUUAGUGAGUGUCUGCGCAACUGUCUGAAUACGCUCAUAAGCGUUGUAUUGUCAUAGGAGCAUUCAAAGCCCCACAACCACACGAGAUGUGGUUGUGCUGGCUGUCAACAAAGUCGAGAAACGGAGAGAUAGAGAGAGAGAGAGCGUGAGAGAGUGGGUGAGCGUGAGUUAACCAUUGCACCUAGUCCCCCGCGUCUGGUUCUUUGUCCGGCGAAAGGGAAUGGGGACUUUUUUCCUUGACCGGUCCCGGCACCCUCGAUUGGCUUUGCCAAUCAAUGGUCCAUGCAAAUGGAACCAGGCCACAGCCGUCGGCAGUCGCCCGAGGAAGAGUUUUCUUUUCUGCUUAACGCAUGAGGUCAUUCCUGGAAACAGUUCGGCUGGCGAAAGGGUGUCGCUUGCGGCAGAGCGCCACGACUGUCGUGCGCGUCUCGGUGUUCCUGCUGAUCCGUGAAAACGUGGUCGAGGGGAAUGCUCUUGUAUCAACGAAACGUCCGACAAGUUCGGGACGGACCGUACCCUAUAUCCGCAUCUGGUCUCCAAGGUUACUAGCCUCUGCAGAGUCAGACACAUGUAGGUAAGGGAAGUCGGCAAACUCGAUCCGUAACUUCGGGAAAAGGAUUGGCUCUGAGGGCCGAGCUGGGCCGGGCCUUGCCUGCAAAGCAGUACCUAUAGUGACCGGAGUUUCAGGAGUGCGUGUGGCUCUAGUAGCUGCUUGUGCGCGUGCGCGCGUGUGGGCACGAACGGGUCCACCACUCCGCUCCAACCACGAACGGCUGUGACGGCAAGGGCUCUGGGCGGGAGCGGUCUAUCCGUUGGCCUCCAGCGCGUCUGGUUGGCGGCGGUGCUCUGUCUGACCCAUACGGCUCCAGCGGCUAGCGGCUAACUCAGAACUGUCAUGGACCAAGGGAAUCCGACUGUCUAAUUAAAACAAAGCGUCGUGACGGCCCCUGUUGGGUGUUGACGCGACGUGAUUUCUGCCCAGUGCUCUAA
rnacentral:rRNA from 1 species